AUCACUGAGCUGUAGGAGGUGUCUGCAUGAUCCGGAGUUUUUCCCUCCCACUCAGCAGCACACACGCACUGCUGCUGCUGACCCCAGGGCAGCUGCUGCCUGCUGUAGUCUGGCUUAUGUUGGUGCUUUAUGCAUCCAACUUAAAAAUAAAGGGGGUUGACUGUCAAGCGGGACUGAGCAGUACUCAGCAUCCUACAGGCUUUGAGCAGUAGAAAAUAGGAAAGGACUGUGAAGCUUCUCACAGCAGUAGUUGCUUCCUGCCCAGGAUUCCCCACGCUGCUUUCUGGGAUAAAGCAAUGUUCCGGGCGAUGCACCACAUGUCCCUGCUCUUCCGCCUCAAGCCGGCCCGCUGGAGCGGCCACAGCAUCCACAGCUCUCCACCGGAGGGGAAAGUGGGACUGGUGGAGACAAUCACUGGAUUCUCAGCAUUUUCACUGGCAGUUCUUGGACCAGCUGGAUGGUUCCUUUACCACCUUCCAAGCUAUAAAACGGAAUAAAAAACAUACCUUGGAAAUUAAGAUCUGGAAGCUGCGCUUUGUCAGUGAAUCCAACAUCUUGAUCUGAGGCCCAGUUAUGCAUUUGGAAACCUUCCUACAGAUUUUAGUGAGUUUUGGAUAAGGGCCUAUCCGGAGAAAAAUCCAUGCCAGUAACUGAAGUGAAGCCAGGCGAGUGCUCUGCAACACACUGCUCUUGCAUGCCAUGAAUACAUCCACUGACAUCAAUCAGGCUGUUCUGCAGAAUCUUUUGUAAAAAAGCACUUUGAACGUUUCCGUGUGCCUGCUUGUCCUGCACCCAAUUUUGUCAUCAAUGCCUCACCUGGUAAUAGCUAAAUAAAUCAGUAGGACAUAUCAUCUU
rnacentral:lncRNA from 7 species